ACAAAUAAUAGAGCCAGUUCCAUUGGAAACGUACUAAGUAGCAUUCAGAAAUGGACGCAAGAUCUGCUGGUGUUUGUUCCUUCUUGGUGCUGCUAUUAUUCGGGAGUCCUGUUUCUGCAGAGACUGUAUUGUGCAACGAUAAAGGAAGAGACAAGCACGAUAGGCAGUACCAUUGCAACGUGUAGCAUUCAGAAAUGGACUCAAGAUCUGCUGGUGUUUGUGUCCUCUUGGUGUUGCUGUUACUUGGAAGUCCUGUAUCUGCAGAGCGUUGUGAAACAAAGAGAACUUGGCUCUACCUUUGCAUCAAGUCGACAUGCGAGAAACCUUGCGAGAAACUGGCGAAUGAAGCACAGACCACUAAGUGGUAUUCCUCGUGCGAUGGGUCUUUCAAUGGUGUCUGCAGCUGCAAGAUCUGCUAUCCUAAUUAACCACAAUCGGUUAUAGUGUGCUGGAUGUGCUUCUUCUAAGAUAGCCUUGUGUUACUUCAAGAAAAAUAAGCGUAAUAUGUUAUUAGAACCAAGAUUCAAAAUUGUAAUACCAUUUUUGUUUA